CGCUGGACCGCGUGAGUGAUUGCAGCGAAAAUCCUUUUGUCCAUUAGAUUGCAAGGCAACGAAGCAAUCUUGACAAAAGAUUGUAGCGAAAAGCACGACCGCAG
rnacentral:sRNA from 1 species